UUUUUCUUAAGCUGGCGUUGGAAAUGCCACUGUGGCAGUCUGAAUUGCAUUGAAUUAGAUACAUCAACAGUUUCAACAAAUCAAAUAUCCCUAUAAAUUUGCAUUGAAUUCAAAUAUCCCUAUAAAUUUGCAUUGAAUUAGGCAGGGGCUGCGCGCACGCAAACCCCCUCUACCACAAAUUAUGACGUAAGUUCGACCACUUGGGUCGACUUUAGGCAAGCACCCUCCUAAGUGCAAUGGAGGUUACAAACCUAGGCCAUGAGCCUUCUAGAUCAACCAUCGACCCCGUCCAGGUAAGUAUGGGAUUUGAUUUUAUUUCUUCCAUUUAUCCACACGCUACUUCCAUGCUCCAUCUACUUGGAUACCUAUGUGGGAUAUACACUUUGUUUAUUCAAAAAAUUAAUCGCUUCCUUCUCCUUUGCCUCCUUUGCAUUUUUGACAUUUACUUUACAUAAUUUUUUGUUUCAAAAUUUAUUCGAAGUGUAUACGUCUAUAACCACAUUAAUAUACACUUAUUUUUUUUUUUUUAUCAGGAAAAAAAUCAUAUAGUAUUAACUAUAGGCUUCGGUAUCCUUUGCCCAGAAGCGUUUACAAAAUGAGAGAAAAUCAAAAGCAGAGGCUUGAAAAGGGUCCUAAACACUUGAGUGCCUCUAUUGCAGAGUUAAUCUAUCAACUUUGCAUCAGAAAACCAUAUGCCAUUUUCCACCCCCACAUUCUGAAUUUGAUCUCUGCCAGCAGUUUUUCCGAUUUCCAAACUUAAUUUGAUUCGAUUUUGAGAUCGUUAUCAUCCUCAAUGCUCCGCCGGAAACACUCAUGUUAUCAACCUUGCUUACAAUUUCAGUUGUCCACCAGAGCUUGGGAGUUGAAGAAUUUGCAUUGGUUAGCUCAAUAGACUCAUCAUUAUGCAAUGUUCUCAUAAUUCUUCACUUGGAAGCUUGGGUUGGAUAUGUGGAUCCUCCUUCCUUUAUGCUCCAAACACCUUUUAUUUCUUGAUUUUUUAGUCAUUAUUGUAAUGAAAACAUGAUUUGCUUUUUUCUAUCAAAUCAUAAUUUUCUAUUUUAAUUUCUAUAGAUUAUUGCUAAGAAAACUCCUGAGUAUUUUGAGUAUGAUGUUUUGGCCUGUAAGAGUUGAGAGAACAUUAUGUCCUAUUUUUCAGAAA
rnacentral:lncRNA from 1 species